GUGAGGAAUAUUGCGCAAUGGAGGCAACUCUGACGCAGCCAUGCCGCGUGCAGGAAGAAGGCGCUACGCGUUGUAAACUGCUUUUAACCGGGAAGAAACCCCAGGACGUGUCCUGGGUUGACGGUACCGGAGGAAUAAGCACCGGCUAACUUCGUGCCAGCAGCCGCGGUAAUACGAAGGGUGCAAGCGUUAUCCGGAUUCAUUGGGUUUAAAGGGUGCGUAGGCGGAGCGUUAAGUCAGUGGUGAAAUCCUGCAGCUUAACUGUAGACUUGCCAUUGAUACUGGCGCGCUUGAGUGCGCUUGAAGUGGGCGGAAUGUGCCGUGUAGCGGUGAAAUGCUUAGAUAUGGCACAGAACACCAAUUGCGAAGGCAGCUCACUAAGGCGAUACUGACGCUGAGGCACGAAAGCGUGGGGAUCGAACAGGAUUAGAAACCCGGGUAGUCC
rnacentral:rRNA from 1 species